rnacentral:rRNA from 1 species
AUUGAACGCUGGCGGAAUGCUUUACACAUGCAAGUCGAACGGCAGCACGGACUUCGGUCUGGUGGCGAGUGGCGAACGGGUGAGUAAUGUAUCGGAACGUGCCCAGUCGUGGGGGAUAACGUAGUGAAAAUUACGCUAAUACCGCAUACGAUCUAUGGAUGAAAGCGGGGGAUCGCAAGACCUCGCGCGAUUGGAGCGGCCGAUAUCAGGUUAGGUAGUUGGUGGGGUAAAGGCCCACCAAGCCAACGAUCUGUAGCUGGUCUGAGAGGACGACCAGCCACACUGGAACUGAGACACGGUCCAGACUCCUACGGGAGGCAGCAGUGGGGAAUUUUGGACAAUGGGCGAAAGCCUGAUCCAGCCAUUCCGCGUGCAGGAUGAAGGCCCUCGGGUUGUAAACUGCUUUUGUACAGAACGAAAAGGUUUCUACUAAUACUAGGAGCUCAUGACGGUACUGUAAGAAUAAGCACCGGCUAUCUACGUGCCAGCCGCCGCCGCCG